rnacentral:rRNA from 1 species
CCUACGGGAGGCAGCAGUAGGGAAUCUUCCACAAUGGGCGAAAGCCUGAUGGAGCAACGCCGCGUGGGUGAAGAAGGUCUUCGGAUCGUAAAACCCUGUUGUUAGAGAAGAAAGUGCGUGAGAGUAACUGUUCACGUUUCGACGGUAUCUAACCAGAAAGCCACGGCUAACUACGUGCCAGCAGCCGCUCUAAUACGUAGGUGGCACGCGUUAUCCGGAGUUAUUGGGCGUAAAGGGAACUCAGGGGGUCUUUUAAGUCAGAUGUGAAUGCCUUCGGCUUAACCGGAGUAGUGCAUUGGAAACUGGGAAACUUGAGUGCAGAAGAGGAGAGUGGAACUCCAUGUGUAGCGGUGAAAUGCGUAGAGAUAUGAAAGAACACCAGUGGCGAAAGCGGCUCUCUGGUCUGUAACUGACGCUGAGGUUCGAAAGCGUAGGUAGCAAACAGGAUUAGAUACCCUUGUAGUC